GAGUUUGAUCUUGGCUCAGAUUGAACGCUGGCGGCAUGCCUUACACAUGCAAGUCGAACGGCAGCACGGGAGCUUGCUCCUGGUGGCGAGUGGCGAACGGGUGAGUAAUGCAUCGGAACGUAUCCUGGAGUGGGGGAUAACGUAGCGAAAGUUACGCUAAUACCGCAUAUUCUGUGAGCAGGAAAGCGGGGGACCUUCGGGCCUCGCGCUCUUGGAGCGGCCGAUGUCGGAUUAGCUAGUUGGUGAGGUAAAGGCUCACCAAGGCGACGAUCCGUAGCAGGUCUGAGAGGAUGAUCUGCCACACUGGAACUGAGACACGGUCCAGACUCCUACGGGAGGCAGCAGUGGGAAUUUUGGACAAUGGGGGCAACCCUGAUCCAGCCAUGCCGCGUGAGUGAAGAAGGCCUCGGUU
rnacentral:rRNA from 5 species